GGAUGUGAGGGUGAUCUGGCUGCAACAUCUAUCACCCUGUUGAUUGCCAGGGUUGAUUUGGAUGAUCUAGCUGGCUAGGUAGGUGUCCCCUUCCUCCCUCAGUGCUCCAUGUGUGUUCCUCCUGAAGCUGUGUGCUUAGUCAAAGAGCACGACCACCCCCGAUACAGGGUGACCGUUCCUCAGUCAAGGGUGUACAAGUAGCUACACUCCCCUGCUGGAACCUCCAAACAAGCUCUCAAGAAAUAUACUAGUGUUGGAAAUAAAGAAUUAAAAUUUUCAUUACAUUUAAAAAAGCCCCUACAAUACCAGCAAAAAAAUUAUGGAAUUAUU
rnacentral:snRNA from 1 species